AUGUCUGUGGGGGGCGGAGGAGGGGCAGGCCCUCUUCCACAAUGUGUUUGAAAAAAGUUAAUUCAGCAAAUGAUAGGUCCACUAUUUCUCCUACCUCUACAUUAGGAAGCUCCAAGUUGAGUCACACAGCUACCAAAGAGGCACAAGCUCUGUUCUAGGCACAGGACUGAACUUGGAACAGUCCCCAUCUCAUGAAGUUCCCAUCCUAGAGGAACAGGAAACUGAUUACAUAAAUUACGGCAAAACUUCUGCAGUGAGAACGGAUGGCAACUGAAACCCACUGAAAUGAUGAAAGCCCUCCGGAAAGAGGCGGAGAUUUGACAACAAGCUCGCAGAUUCAACUAAUUCGCUUGCUCUAAAAAUCAGAGCAACCCAGAAGGAGGAGACUUCUAGCACUGUCAUCUACCAAAUGUCAAUGUCCAUCACUGGCUGCCGAAGGCCACGAUCCCCCGCCUAGGACUCCAGGAGCCACCUCCUUCCCUCUUAGAUGCUCCAGUGUCCAUUUUCUGACCCAGACUCAUAACCCACCAAAUCUUCCCACGGUCUGGGAUGCAGAUUCGGCAGUGGGAGUUGGAGCAACUGUCUUGGACCACAGAAUAGAAGGUUGUAGAACAAGAAACUAGAUACCAUAAAGUCGUCUCAUCAAUCCUAAAGCAGGUACUCUGUUAUGUGAAAGAGAUAGAAGCUUCUAUUCCAUUGAAGCCACUUUGCUGUGUCCUUGCCUACAAGAGCCGAAUGUGUUUGGUAACUAAUUCAUUAUCCGGGUCACAUCAUGAAUAAAUAUCAGAGUCCAAUAUUUGAACCCAAAUCCGUAUGAAUCUAAAGCCCAGUUUCUUCCUGACCAUACAGUCUUGCCCGCAAAAACCAAAAGGAGAGCGUGUAUUGGAAGGAGGUCAAGCUGGUGGCAAGAGAGGGCUAACCGCAAACGAAUUUUCACUCUCCAAUGCCUAAAACAAGCCUAUGCCACAUCCCACCGAAAGCUCAGGCCCCCCUCAUCUUGAAUGAAAAACCAAUAAACAGCUAGAAGGAUAGAGAGGCAUUCCACAAACCCCAGCUACACAAGCACAAUGCCAACAGUUGCAGAUAAGAGCCAGAUUCAGGUUUGCUGUGGGAAGCAACACGGUGAAAACCCACGGGGAUAACAUGGUGUCAGCGACACUUCCCAGCUCUAGCUCCAAGAGGCAGCGCCAAGGUACUGUGGCUGUGGUUACGCCCCACCCCAUUCACCAAAGGCAUUGCUACCACCCAGUUCCCGGGGGCACCCUGGAGCCUGACGUGGGAGAGUAGUCAGUCCAAAAUCUACACUUUGAAAGAACUGAGUCUGGCUUGUUUCAAGGACCUAAGCAAACAGCACUCCUCCUCACCGUCGACAGGAUGAAAGCCUCACUGUGCAUCACAAAGGUGAUCUGGAGGCGUUCAUUUGCUUUAGCUGAAACAAACGCUGAACGACCGGUUUUUAGACCAGAAAGAUGUUCAAAUCCAGCAAGUAGGCACUCUUUCCGUGUUUCAUCUUGAUGUCCUGCCCACACCCACCCUCUUCCCUGCCACCCCGUAACACUGAAACAGGGAUACAUGAAUAUGGGGAUCAUGAAGAAAUUAUAGAAAUUUGCGUCUGUGGACCCAAAGGAAUCACGAAAAUCGAUUCUGACCCAAAUGUCACAACCAAAGAACAGGCUUCCAAACCAAAUCAGCCCAGCUGUUUGUCCCCAUGGAAGAAUGUGGGCCGAGAAUGGUUUCCAGCCAGCCCUCAGGCAAAAACAGAAACCCGACACCCCAGAGAAAGUCCCAAUCUCCUGUAAACAAAGGGAAGAACUGUUCAUUACAGCCACUGAAAUCUUUUAAUAUCAGGCUCCAAGUAUGUCAAGCACACCAAACAAAUUUAGCUUCACCACCUGUUCCGGAAAAGAAACACCCAUGCCAAAAAUCCCCCUAAAAGCGCAUAGAUAUUCUCAGUGUGGAUUAGCUGGGAGUCUUUUCAAAUAUGUUCUAUAUUAGAGUUUGUAAACUGGGCACUGGAUGUACACCACAUGGCCGCCAUGUAAGACA